rnacentral:rRNA from 1 species
GCCAGUGGCAGGGCUGGUUGGCUACGUACGGAAGGGAUAACCGCUGAAAGCAUCUAAGCGGGAAGCCUGUUUUAAGAUGAGGUUUCUUUUGAGGUUCCCUCGAGACGAGGGGGUUGAUAGGCCAGAUCUGGAAGAGUGGUAACACUUGGAGGUGACUGGUACUAAUUUACCGAUAAACAAC